GCCGGAGUGGCGGAAUGGCAGACGCGGCGGAUUCAAAAUCCGCUGCCCGAAAGGGUGUGGGGGUUCGACUCCCCCCUCCGGCA
rnacentral:tRNA from 1 species